CAGAAUUAUAUUUUCAACUUGUCUCUACCAGUAUUGUAACUCCUCUUCUGAUAGUUUUUCCCGAUAGUUCGGAAAGUAGAGGCUUCUUACAUUCCUGGUAGGAGCAGUUCUGUCUUCUAUGCCACUUCUGGAAGUCAACUUUCCUCUCAGAUCCUCAUCUGGUGGUGUGGCCUGUGUUCACUGACGUAAAUUGUACAGUGUGAGUGACUACAGCACCGCUACUGGGAGUCAUCACGUAUCUUGACAGCAGCCCUUGCUAAUGGUCACGUGACAAUUCUAUUGGAAUUUGGUAUCCAUGGCUUUUGAGGAUCUGGCCUCUCUGAAGAGGAUAAAGAAUUAAUCACUGCUGACCCAAGAGAGCAAGCCAGACGAUGCACCUUCUCGCAGGAGAGGAAGCAGCAUGAGCCCCAGAGGUUAAAUGGAUUAACUCCCUCAAUCACCUGAGCAAAAGAAGACAGAGGCCAGGGAUGCCUUCUUCCAAGCGGGCCCAUCUGAUGAAAACAGGGUUUCCUCGCAUGUACAGAUAGUAUGCAGCAGAAUUCUCUGUGUCUGGAUACACAUAUGGAAAGGUUAACCCCUUUAGUGAUAGACCAGACGUUCUGUACAUUUCUGGGCAA